GCAGAGUAGAGAAAGAAGCGUUAAGUAUCGUCUGAACGGGGAGUUGUCAGACGGGCGAAAAGUGUUUCUUGCGAUUUCUUUCUCGCAUCCCGCUGU
rnacentral:ncRNA from 1 species